rnacentral:rRNA from 1 species
GACGAACGCUGGCGGCGUGCUUAACACAUGCAAGUCGAACGGAAAGGCCCUGCUGUUGUGGGAUGCUCGAGUGGCGAACGGGUGAGUAACAAGUGAGUAACCUGCCCUUGACUUUGGGAUAACUUCAGGAAACUGGGGCUAAUAACGGAUAGGAGCUCCUGCUGCAUGGGGGGGGUUGGAAAGUUUCGGCGGUGGGGGAUGGACUCGCGGCUUGUCAGUUUGUGGGUGGGGAGGUGACUUACAAGGGCAUUGACGGGUGGCCGGCUAGGGGGGGUGCCCGGCCAAAUGGGGCUGGGGAUAGGGCCCAGACUCUACCGGGAGGAAGAAGUGGGGAAUAUUGCACAAGGGGGGGAAGCCUGUUCCAGCAACGCCGCGGGCGGGUUGCCGGCUUCCGGUUGUUAACCCGUUUUAGCAGGUAACGAAGUGUGUGUGACGGUACCUGGUAAAGAAGCACCGGCUAACUACGUG